AUGGUAUUCCUUGAUAUCAGGGGAAUGCUGCAGUCCAUGGGAAAGGACAUAAAGUUGUUCCCUCUUUCGGACAUCGAUGAUACUUAUGACAGCACAGAAGGUGAGUCUCGGGAGGUCAUCGAGGAAACCACUAUCAAGGUUGCCGAGGAUGAAAAAUCCCUGGAGUCCUCACUAAACCCUGAGCAGAGGAAAGCCUAUGAAGAGAUAGUAGCAUCAAUUGACAACGGUGAAGGGGGCGUCUUCUUCAUCGAUGUCCCGGGAGGCACUGGGAAGACCUUCCUGUGUAGGGCGUUGCUCGCUAGGGUUCGAGGUGCGAAAAAGGUCGUUGUGUCCACUGCGACAUGGAGUGUCGCCGCUUCUAUCAUGCUUGGGGGCAGGACCGCCCACUCGAGGUUCAAGAUCCCACUCAACGUUGAAGAAAGGACAUCGCGCAACUUCACCAAGUAG
rnacentral:rRNA from 1 species